GGGUAUUUUAAAUUAUAUUUCACAAUGGGAGAUGUGGUAAUUUAGAUAAAAAGUUAUUGGGUUAUUUUGAAUAUCUUUCAUAGUGGCAAAAGUUGGUAAUUUAGAUUUAAAGUUAGUGCUUAUUUUGAAUUAUGUUUCAUAAUGACAAAGGUGGAUAAUUUAGAUGCAAAUUUAGUUAGUUUAAAUUUUUGUUCAUAAUGGCACAUAUGUGGGUAAUUUAUAUACAAAUUGAGGGGGUUAUUUUGAAUUACCUUUCAUAAUAGCAAAGGUGGGUAAUUUACAUGUAAAAUUAAGGGUUAUUUUGUAUAUUUUCAAUUGCAUUGCUAGAUAAUUUUUUUUUUCUAAAAUACAAUAGAUCCAGUAACUAUUGUCAGGGAUGAUGAUUUGUGUCUCUUAAAUUAAAGGCCAGAUAUUUCUAAUUAUUUGAGAAUUUCUAGGAUUAGCGUUUGUGGGAGAAUUAAAAGGUGCCUUUGUUGGGGCCUCUAACUAGUAAUGGGGGUAGUUUAUAUAUAUAUAUUUAGGGGGUUAUUUUGAAUUAACUUUCAUAAUGGCGGAGCUGGGUAAUUGAGAUAUAAAUUUAGGGGUUAAUUUAUUGGUUUUCAUAAUGACAAAGGUGGGUCUUUUUUUUCUAAAUUACAUUAGAUCUCAUGGUUAUUAUUGGUGAUAAUGAUUUGAGGCGCUCAAAUUAAAGAUUGGAUGUUUCUCAUUAUUGUGAGAAUUUUUAGGAUCCAAUGAUAGCGUGUCUUAGAGAAUUAAUGUGAUGUAUUCAUUGGAGUCUCUAAUUAAUAAUAGAAAGAUUUUGUGCAGCAUAAAGUACUCCCUCCUUCCUAAAUUAUAUUUUUGUUUUUUUAGAUUCAUAUCUUUUACUAUGUAUUUAGAUAUAUGCACUAUAUAUGUCUACAUAUAUACUAAAAGUAAUGUAUUAAAAAACAAGACGUCUUAUACUUUGGAAUCAAGGAAGUAAGUGGAAGCUCUUAUUAUACUUGUCAACAAGUACUAUGCAUCCGAAAAGAUCUAGUACUGGCCUUUGACUGAUUUGUUUUGCUACACCUGUUCUAUAAUACCGGGUUUCUUUGACGCGGUGCAGUCUGAAAGCAGCGGACCACACGAAGAGAAUCAUUUCAAGCUGAGGUACACGGCAAAAAAAUUAAGGCAAUGGAGUAGGACAUAGUGAUCAAGUAAAGUCAAACUAGAGUACCUUGCGCACGAGCAGCAUAUGCAUUUUUAGGCCAUAUCGUCCGUUCCUUUGAUUAGCGCGUCGUCGUCCGCUCCCUACUUGCUGCUUCAAUGUACAACUUCGUUACUGUGCCUCAACUUAAUUAAUGAAGUCAAACACUUGUGUGCUGCUGAAACUCCAGCAGCACUGUGGUCUCGUUGCCCGGCCUCCCUUCUUGCUGCUUCAAUGUACACUUCUUCGUUAUUUUAGGAGAUAUAAGUAUUAGUUACAUCUUACUAAUAACAUUUUAUAUUUUCUCUUUUUUUUUGGUAACGUAAUAGAUUUAAUAGACACUCCAUAGUCUAUGCCCAGUUAUCACAAACUUAUUACUUACUUUUUUGCAAGGGACUGAUCUAUAUUUUUUUUCAAUUGUAUUCAUUUUUUUUGCAUCACACCUCUUAUUAUAAUAAGGAAUUAGUUUGAAACCUUACCAUUAAUUAUGGUGGCUCUGUUGCAUCACAUAUCUUAUAAAUCAUGAGGCUAACUUUUAAUUUUCCAAAAUUUAUUCUUAUUGACUGCUAUAAUUUUUUAUCCUCAAAUUAAGAUAAAAUUGUGCUUAUUAUACCUUUUAUUAAAUCUUUUUUACACUUGUUUAAAAUUAAGAUUUUAAGUCGUAGAGUACGUUCUUAAAUUAUACAUUACCAUAAGCCUCAAUUAAAACCUAUGCCAUGUUACUUAGGAUAUAAUGAAAUUGUCUCAGGUCUCUAAAGUUGUGUGUAGGUGUUAUAUAGGUCCCCCAAAGUCUCAAAAUAAAAUUUUAGGUCCUUGAAAUUAGUUUGGGUCUCGUCCGGAUGUAAACAGGUGUUUACCUGAACUGGUAGUGACAUGGAUUUUAUGCACAAGAAAAUACUCCCCCUUCCUAAAAUAAUAUUUGUUUUUGUUAAAAAAAUUCAUAGCUUUUACUAUGUAUUUAGAUAUAUACUGCUUCUACAUAUAUAACGAUUAAAACAAUGUAUCUAAAAAAAGCAAGACGUCAAUUUGUUUUGAAGGAAGGGAAUGAGUGGAAGCUGUUACACUUGUCAAUGAUUACUGUGCAUCCAUAAAAGUCUUUGUGACGAGCAUAAUUGAGGGCCUGUUUAGUACUGAUCUUCACAUGUUUUUAUUUUGCUAUACACGUACGGGCUGUGAUCGAUCGGUCUGAGCUUCCAUAUACAAACACGUACACAUGCUCUAUAAUACCCGGUUUCUUUGACGUUGUGCAGUGUGAAAGAAGCGGACCACACCGUCCACACGCAGAGAACCACUCGAAGCUGAGGUACACGGGAAAAAAAGAUUAAGACAAUGGAGUAGGACACUGCCACACACACGUGAUCAAAUUAAAGUCUAACUAGAGUACCAUAUAGCGAAUGCGGUACACAGGAACAGCAAAGGC
rnacentral:lncRNA from 1 species